UUGAGGACAGUGUCUGGUGGGUAGUUUGACUGGGGCGGUCUCCUCCCAAAGAGUAACGGAGGAGUACGAAGGUUAGCUAAGCAUGGUCGGACAUCAUGCGGUUAGUAUAAUGGUAUAAGCUAGCUUGACUGCGAGACAGACACGUCGAGCAGGUACGAAAGUAGGUCAUAGUGAUCCGGUGGUUCUGUAUGGAAGGGCCAUCGCUCAACGGAUAAAAGGUACUCCGGGGAUAACAGGCUGAUACCGCCCAAGAGUUCAUAUCGACGGCGGUGUUUGGCACCUCGAUGUCGGCUCAUCACAUCCUGGGGCUGAAGUCGGUCCCAAGGGUAUGGCUGUUCGCCAUUUAAAGUGGUACGCGAGCUGGGUUUAGAACGUCGUGAGACAGUUCGGUCCCUAUCUGCCGUGGGCGUUUGAGAAUUGAGAGGAGCUGCUCCUAGUACGAGAGGACCGGAGUGGACGAACCGCUGGUGUUCGGGUUGUUAUGCCAAUAGCAUUGCCCGGUAGCUACGUUCGGAAUCGAUAACCGCUGAAAGCAUCUAAGCGGGAAGCGAGCCUCAAGAUGAGUUCUCACUGGAGAUUUAAUCUCCCUAAAGGGCCGUAGGAGACUACUACGUUGAUAGGCAAGGUGUGUAAGCGUUGUGAGGCGUUGAGCUAACUUGUACUAAUGACCCGUGAGGCUUAACCAU
rnacentral:rRNA from 1 species